rnacentral:misc_RNA from 1 species
UCCGAGUUGACCCCGGCAGUCUCCUUUGAGUUCCCACCAUUACGUGCUGGCAACAAAGAACGAGGGUUGCGCUCGUUGCGGGACUUAACCCAACAUCUCACGACACGAGCUGACGACAGCCAUGCAGCACCUCGACUCUAGUCCCUUGCGGGAAAACCAUGUUUCCACGGUCGUUCACGAGCCGUUCGAGCCCAGGUAAGGUUCUUCGCGUUGCGUCGAAUUGAACCACAUGCUCCACCGCUUGUGCGGGCCCCCGUCAAUUCCUUUGAGUUUCAAUCUUGCGAUCGUACUUCCCAGGUGGAUUACUUAAUGCUUUCGCUCAGACACCAACAGUGUAUCGCUGAUGUCGAGUAAUCAUCGUUUAGGGCGUGGACUAC